rnacentral:rRNA from 1 species
AUUGAACGCUGGCGGCAUGCCUUACACAUGCAAGUCGAACGGCAGCGCGGGCUUCGGCCUGGCGGCGAGUGGCGAACGGGUGAGUAAUACAUCGGAACGUGCCCUAGAGUGGGGGAUAACUAGUCGAAAGAUUAGCUAAUACCGCAUACGAUCUACGGAUGAAAGUGGGGGACCGCAAGGCCUCAUGCUCCUGGAGCGGCCGAUGUCUGAUUAGCUAGUUGGUGGGGUAAAAGCCUACCAAGGCGACGAUCAGUAGCUGGUCUGAGAGGAUGACCAGCCACACUGGGGCUGAGACACGGCCCAGACUCCUACGGGAGGCAGCAGUGGGGAAUUUUGGACAAUGGGGGAAACCCUGAUCCAGCAAUGCCGCGUGUGUGAAGAAGGCCUUCGGGUUGUAAAGCACUUUUGUCAGGAACGAAACGGUGGGGGCUAAUAUCCUCUGCUAAUGACGGUACCUGAAGAAUAAGCACCGGCUAACUACGUGCCAGCAGCCGCCGUAA